AACUCUUCCAUCAGUUCCAUGUAACUUCGAGUCUUCGCCCAAUCUAACCCGUCUCUGGAGUCUGGACUCGAUAGUAGCCAAACGACAUCGUCUCCGGUGUCCAGUCUGUCCAAACCAAAUCGCCGAUAGGGACUCUCGCAGAACCAACUCUGAGCAACCGAAAAUCCGAAGCGGAAAUGGGGGUCGACGAUGUUCCCCUGGACGACAAGGCCAAGCGGAUGAGAGAUCUGCUCUCGAGCUUCUACUCCCCCGAUCCUUCAAUGUCCUCCCCUGAUACGACGUCCUCGUCGUCUAAACGAACCACUCUGGACGACAUAAAUUCCUCCUCCUUCGAUCCCGAUCAGUAUAUGAAUCUCCUGGUGCAAAAGUCGAAUUUAGAAAGGCUUCUGCAGAGGCAUGUAGAAAUGGCGGCCGAGAUAAAGAAUCUUGACACUGACCUACAAAUGUUAGUGUAUGAGAAUUAUAACAAGUUCAUCAGUGCUACCGAUACGAUUAAGAGGAUGAAUAGUAAUAUCGUAGGCAUGGAGUCAAAUAUGGAACAGCUUCUUGAGAAGAUAAUGUCUGUGCAAUCGAGAAGUGAUGGGGUGAACACUUCACUCUUCGAAAAGAGAGAACACGUAGAGAAAUUGCAUCGCACUCGUAACCUUCUUCGUAAAGUUCAGUUCAUUUAUGAUCUACCUGCUAGGCUUGGAAAGUGCAUAAAAUCAGAGGCCUAUGCUGAUGCAGUCAGGUUCUACACUGGAGCUAUGCCAAUUUUUAAGGCAUAUGGAGAUUCAUCAUUCCAGGAUUGUAAACGAGCAUCUGAAGAAGCCAUGGCUAUAAUUAUAAAGAACUUGGAGGGAAAGCUAUUCUCGGAUUCUGAAUCUAUACAAACAAGAGCAGAGGCUGCAGUUCUUCUUAAAAAGUUAGAUUUUCCGGUGGAAAGCUUAAAGGCUAGACUACUGGACAAGUUGGCACAAUCUCUUGCAGACCUUCAGCUUAAUACUGAAGAAAUAAGUAAUGCUUCAGUAGAUCCUAAGGAUCUGUCUCAAGAAGAAAGCAAUCCUGGAUCAGCUCCUGCUGCUACUCAUGAGGCCUCUGUUCGCGAGUUUGCAGAGGCUAUCCGUGCUUAUCGGAUAAUAUUUCCUGAUUCAGAAAGCCAACUAAUUAAACUUUCACAAGGCGUGGUUACCAAGCAUUUUGAAGCAAUUGAGGAAUAUGUAAAGAAACGUAUUUGUUCUACAGAGCUGCUGCAUGUUCUUCGAAUUAUUUGGACAGAUGUGCUCCUGAUGGAUGAAGUGUUGGACGAGGCUGCUCUCCCUAACUAUUCAAUGGAGGCUGCAAAGGUUGCUGUCAAACAGUAUGUUGCCAGCACAUUUUCUCGUCUUCUACAUGAUAUCUCAGAUUCCCUUACAAGAGUUCAUGUUAAACAAAAGGAGGGGAUGAGGGAGUAUUCAUUGCAGACUGCCCUUGAGGCCAGCAAAAAAGCAGUGCUUCAAGGCAGUAUGGAUGUUUUAUUGGACUUCCGCCAAAUUAUAGAAGACAACUUGGAGCUACUAGUUCAGCUGAAGCCCUUGAUUAUUGAUUUGGUUCAAGAAGGAUUUCAAGAUUUCUUCGGGGCCCUUGAUGAUCACUUCCUUCUGCUCUCAGGAGGAAAUAAUUCAGUCAGUCAAGAUCAAGGUUUUGUGGAGGGGACACAAGUUGACAAAGCUUUUGCUGGCCUUGUCCUGGUUCUGGCUCAACUUUCUGUUUUCAUUGAACAAACUGCAAUCCCAAAAAUCACUGAGGAAAUUGCGGCUUCCUUUUCUGGUGGUGGUGCUAGAGGCUAUGAGCACGGGCCUGCAUUUGUUCCUGGAGAAAUUUGUCGAAUAUUUCGUUCAGCUGGAGAGAAGUUUCUGCACCUUUAUGUUGAUAUGAGAACUCAGAGGAUAUCCCUUCUCCUGAAAAAGAGGUUUACGACACCAAAUUGGGUCAAGCAUAAGGAGCCCAGAGAAGUUCAUAUGUUUGUUGAUUUAUUUCUCCAAGAGCUUGAAGCGACAGGAUGUGAAGUAAAGCAGAUUUUGCCUGAAGGGCUGCGAAGGCAUCGUCGCAAUGACAGCAAUGGAAGCACUAACUCAUCAAGGAGCAAUCCGUUACGAGAGGAAAAGUUGAGUCGGUCCAGUACCCAAAGGGCCAGGAGCCAGCUUUUGGAAACCCAUCUAGCAAAAUUGUUUAAGCAAAAAAUUGAAAUUUUCACAAAAGUGGAAUAUACACAGGAGUCAGUGGUGACAACAGUAGUAAAACUUUGUCUUAAAAGUUUGCAAGAAUUUGUCCGACUCCAGACUUUCAAUCGGAGUGGAUUCCAGCAGAUUCAGUUAGAUAUUCAGUUCCUACGGACUCCUGUGAAGGAAAUUGUUGAAGAUCAAGCUGUGAUUGACUUUCUUCUCGAUGAGGUAAAAGAAAAAAGAGUCUGACUCUAGCUUCUGAAUAUUUGACCUCCCAUUACUCUAUUGGAGUAUAAGAUUCAUUCGUGUGAUAAAUUUCAAGAGAAAUGAAGUGAUUGUUAAUGCUUCAGAGCGUUGUCUUGACCCAAUUCCUUUGGAGCCCCCCAUUUUGGACAGACUCAUACAGGCAAAAUUGGCGAAAACAAGGGAUCAGAAUCCAGUCACUCCAUAAACAUCUGAUGGGGGCAAGACCGAUGAUUGUAAUGACCAUUAAUUCUCCAUUUCUUGGACUGCGUUCCUUCCUCAUAUUCUACUUCAUUGAUGUCUCAACCAUACAUCUGAAAAACAAAAGAAUGAUUAUCCAUAGUUGUUACUGACAUCUUUCUUUAACUGGGGUCAGUUGAGUUCAUUUUCACGGCCUAUAGUUGCUCUCCAAUCGUGUUGAUACGGAAUGUCUUCGAGAAGAGUGGUUUGAGUCUGCAAUUAAUUUAGUGCAAGUAUUCUUCGGUCAGAGGGAGGACAUGCACCCUUUAUAGCAAAUAUUAUGCCAUAUGAGUAGUCACUCCUAGUACGUGACAUGAGAAGCACAUUGUAAACUUCGCUUGUACCUAUUGCUGUAAUUCAAUAUGUGAAGAGAACGGGGAAAUCUUUCAACCUUUGAUAACUUGAUAGCCCUCUUGCUCGACUUUUGUAUAGUUGAAAGCAAUCGCUAUAUAUUCGGGAUAUGGCAGUUUUAUUUUC